rnacentral:rRNA from 1 species
CGACCGGCGCACGGGUGAGUAACGCGUAUGCAACCUGCCCUUCACAGGGGGAUAACCGGGAGAAAUUCCGACUAAUACCGCAUACGUCCUCCGGGGGCAUCCUUGGGGGAUGAAAGAUUUAUCGGUGAAGGAUGGGCAUGCGUGAUAUUAGGUAGUUGGCGGGGCAACGGCCCACCAAGCCCACGAUAUCUAGGGGUUCUGAGAGGAAGGUCCCCCACAUUGGUACUGAGACACGGACCAAACUCCUACGGGAGGCAGCAGUGAGGAAUAUUGGUCAAUGGACGAGAGUCUGAACCAGCCAAGUCGCGUGAAGGAAGACGGAUCUAUGGUUUGUAAACUUCUUUAGUGCGGGAACAAAGCGGCGUCGAGACGCCUGAUGAGUGUACCGCAAGAAUAAGCAUCGGCUAACUCCGUGCCAGCAGCCGCGGUAAUACGGAGGAUGCGAGCGUUAUCCGGAUUUAUUGGGUUUAAAGGGAGCGCAGGCUGCGAGGCAAGUCAGCGGUCAAAUGUCGGGGCUCAACCCCGGCCUGCCGUUGAAACUGUCUUGCUAGAGUUCGAGUGAGGUAUGCGGAAUGCGUUGUGUAGCGGUGAAAUGCAUAGAUAUGACGCAGAACUCCGAUUGCGAAGGCAGCAUACCAACUCGCGACUGACGCUGAGGCUCGAAAGCGUGGGUAUCGAACAGGAUUAGAUACCCUGGUAGUCCACGCAGUAAACGAUGAAUACUAACUGUUCGGAGGGCGACCUCUGAGUGGUAAAGCGAAAGCGUUAAGUAUUCCACCUGGGGAGUACGCCGGCAACGGUGAAACUCAAAGGAAUUGACGGGGGCCCGCACAAGCGGAGGAACAUGUGGUUUAAUUCGAUGAUACGCGAGGAACCUUACCCGGGCUCAAACGUCGGGCGAAUCAUCCUGAAAGGGGUGAGCCAGCAAUGGCGGCC